rnacentral:rRNA from 1 species
UACGUAGGGUGCGAGCGUUGUCCGGAAUUAUUGGGCGUAAAGGGCUCGUAGGCGGUUUGUCGCGUCGGGAGUGAAAUCCACUGGCUUAACUGGUGGCUUGCUUUCGAUACGGGCAGACUGGAGGUAUGCAGGGGAGAACGGAAUUCCUGGUGUAGCGGUGAAAUGCGCAGAUAUCAGGAGGAACACCGGUGGCGAAAGCGGCGCGCUGGAUCCCUUCUGACGCUGAGGCGCGAAAGCCAGGGGAGCAAACGGG